AGUGAACGCUGGCGGCAGGCCUAAUACAUGCAAGUCGAACGGCAGCACAGCAGAGCUUGCUCUGUGGGUGGCGAGUGGCGGACGGGUGAGGAAUACGUGGGAAUCUGCCCAGUCGUGGGGGAUAACGUAGGGAAACUUACGCUAAUACCGCAUGCGCCCUUCGGGGAAAGCCGGGGACCUUCGGGCCUGGCGCGAUUGGAUGAGCCCACGUCGGAUUAGCUAGUUGGCGGGGUAAAGGCCCACCAAGGCGACGAUCCGUAGCUGGUCUGAGAGGAUGAUCAGCCACACUGGAACUGAGACACGGUCCAGACUCCUACGGGAGGCAGCAGUAGGGAAUAUUGGACAAUGGGCGCAAGCCUGAUCCAGCCAUGCCGCGUGAGUGAAGAAGGCCCUCGGGUUGUAAAGCUCUUUUGUCCGGAAAGAAAAGCGCCGGGUUAAUACCCUGGUGUCCUGACGGUACCGGAAGAAUAAGCACCGGCUAACUUCGUGCCAGCAGCCGCGGUAAU
rnacentral:rRNA from 1 species